GUGGAAAGCCAAGAGCUGAGACAAAACUAAAAAGUGCAGUCCAGUUGCAAGACCUAUUAGAUGCAACAAGAAUGUUAGUUCCCCAUACAAGACCAGGUCGUGAGAGUGAUAGUGAUCCAGAAGACCUUGAACAUGCUGAGAAGCUUC